rnacentral:rRNA from 1 species
GACGAACGCUGGCGGCGUGCUUAACACAUGCAAGUCGUACGGUAAGGCCCUUUCGGGGGUACACGAGUGGCGAACGGGUGAGUAACACGUGAGUAACCUGCCCACAACUUUGGGAUAACGCUAGGAAACUGGUGCUAAUACUGGAUAUGUGCCCCUGCUGCAUGGUGGGGGUUGGAAAGCUCCGGCGGUUGUGGAUGGACUCGCGGCCUAUCAGCUUGUUGGUGGGGUAGUGGCCUACCAAGGCGGCGACGGGUAGCCGGCCUGAAAGGGUGACCGGCCACAUUGGGACUGAGAUACGGCCCAGACUCCUACGGGAGGCAGCAGUGGGGAAUAUUGCACAAUGGGCGCAAGCCUGAUGCAGCAACGCCGCGUGCGGGAUGACGGCCUUCGGGUUGUAAACCGCUUUCAGCAGGGACGAAGCUUUUUGUGACGGUACCUGCAGAAGAAGCACCGGCUAACUACGUG